AUCCAGUUGACGAUUCCCAAAUAGGACGAAAGGAACAUCCUGGAU
rnacentral:hammerhead_ribozyme from 1 species